ACUGCCCCUAGAAGUGAUCGUGCAGCUGCUGUUCACGAGUGCAUCAGCAGGAGGCAGAGAGGGGGAGGCCAUGUCUGGGUUCAGUGUUCUGAUCUAUGAGUGUUUGAAUGAUUACUAGCCUAACACU